UGCCCAGCAACUCCUAUCCCUACCUCCUCGUGGUACUGGACGGGGUACGAGUAACCUUAGGGAAGA
rnacentral:ribozyme from 1 species